CGAAGCAAACAAAGGUUCAAUAAACAUAGGGUUAGGAGGUCGGGCCGAGAAGACCCUAACUCGUUAAUGAUCCGUCCGUAGGGUGAACCUGCGGAAGGAUCAUUAACGAGUUAGGGUCUUCUCGGCCCGACCUCCUAACCCUAUGUUUAUUGAACCUUUGUUGCUUCGGCGGGCCCGUCUCACGACCGCCGGGGGUCCGUAAGACGUCCUCUGGNCCGUGUCCGCCGGUGGCCAAAUUUAACAAAUUCUGAUUAAAAUGUGUCAAUGCCUAAGUACAAUUUUUAAUUAAAGCAAAACUUUCAACAACGGAUCUCUUGGUUCUGGCAUCGAUGAAGAACGCAGCGAAAUGCGAUAAGUAAUGCGAAUUGCAGAAUUCCAGUGAGUCAUCGAAUCUUUGAACGCACAUUGCGCCCUUUGGUAUUCCGAAGGGCAUGCCUGUUCGAGCGUCAUUAUCACCCCUCAAGCCUUCGGCUUGGUGUUGGACGGUUUGGUUUUGGUGACAAGACCCCUCCUAAAAUCAAUGACGNCGGCCUGUUCGACCCCCGGUACACUGAGCUUUUUAACUGAGCACGUAUCGGCCUCAGGGUAGGCAGGACCCGGUCUUCUUUAACGGGAAACUCUUUCCAAGGUUGACCUCGGAUCAGGUAGGGAUACCCGCUGAACUUAAGCAUAUCAAUAAGCGGAGGAAGGAUCAUUAACGAGUUAGGGUCUUCUCGGCCGACCUCCUAACCCUAUGUUUAUUGAACCUUUGUUGCUUCGGCGGGCCCGUCUCACGACCGCGGGGGGUCGUAAGAACGUCUUC
rnacentral:rRNA from 1 species